rnacentral:misc_RNA from 1 species
AACAAUCUGGGGAGGUUGGACAACGGUCCAGUUCUCUAACGUCCCAGCAUAUGGCGUUGGCACAUCCUGUGAGGACAGACAUAUGAUUGGGGCAUCGAGAUAGUCAUGGAAGUUCUCGGUUAUAGCAGCUGUCAAGCUGGCACCAAUACCUCCUGUACGCAUACAUUCCUCGACAAUGAGGACGCGAUGAGUCUUCUUCACUGAAUUCCCGAUGGUGUGAAGGUCAAACGGUUUCAGUGACCUGAUAUCAAUGACCUCGGGAUCAUAA